AUGAGGGACUUCUAUUUAGCUGAUCCAAGAGCGAGCACAACGCAGCGCCAAGAGAGAGAGAGAGAGAGGAUGGGCACCGACGCCUCCGUCCAUCAGCAGGAGCCAUGGUUCGUCUUGCUGGCCAUCCUCGGCGCACUCUACGUCGCCGCCUUCGUGUACCGCCUCCUGUAUGUCUCCGGCCUCACGCUCUGCCUGCGCCGCGCCAAGGACCUCCGCGGCCACUACGGGGCAUGGGCUGUGGUCACCGGCCCAACGUCCAGCAUUGGCCGCUCGAUGGCCCUGGAGCUCGCGCGGCGCCGUCUCAACCUCGUUCUUGUGGGCCGCGACCCCACCGCGCUCCAGGACAUCUCCAAGACCGCCUCGGAGACCCACGGCGUGCUCACAAAGACCGUGCAGUUCGACCUCUCCCUCGUCUCCACUCGUCAAGGGGAGGAGGCGAUGGGGCGGCUCCGGGAGGCCGUGGAGGGGCUGGAGGUCGGGGUGCUGGUGAACAACGCCGGCUUGGCAACACCGCACGCAGCAUACCUGCACGAGGUCGACGUGGAGGCGUGGGUCAAGAUGAUACGGGUGAACCUGUGGGCUGUGACUGAGGUGACGGCGGCCGUGCUGCCCGGGAUGGUGGAGCGAGGGAGGGGCGCCGUCAUCAACAUCGGCUCCGGCUCCACGGAGGCGCUACCCUCCUAUCCCCUCUACUCCGUCUACGCCGCCACCAAGCGGUACGUUGCUCAGUUCUCCAGGAGCAUAUGCAUUGAGUACAGGGGCAAAGGAAUCGAUGUCCAGUGUCAGGCCCCAUUGUAUGUGGACACAAAGAUGGUGACGAACAUGGUGAACCGGGAAGGCCUCUUCUCAUGGCUGACCAUGCCGACGUCGGAUGCCUACGCCAAUGCAGCUACGUGCUGGAUCGGGCACCGCAGCCCGAUCUGCAUGCCCAACCUGAGCCACCGGCUCCAGUGGUGCCUCAUCCACUUUAUCCCAGACCGCUUCAUCGUGGCGCACCGCCUCCGCGAGACUCUUCGGCAGCGGGCUGUCUUCCAACGGCUGAGGGCAUCAGCUGAGGGUUGGAAUCGUCGCAUGCCAUCAGCGGCUGCCUCAACCGCCAGUGAAGUUAGCUAA
rnacentral:rRNA from 1 species